GGACUACUGGGGUUUCUAAUCCUGUUUGCUCCCCACGCUUUCGCGCCUCAGCGUCAGUUAAGGCCCAGCAGGCCGCCUUCGCCGCCGGUGUUCCUCCAGAUCUCUACGAAUUUCACCUCUACACCUGGAAUUCCACCUGCCUCUGCCUUACUCCAGAUCGGUAGUUCCGAAAGCACGUCCCGGGUUGAGCCCAGGGAUUUCACCCCCGGCUUGCCGAUCCGCCUACACGCCCUUUACGCCCAGUAAAUCCGAACAACGCUUGCACCCUCCGUAUUACCGCGGCUGCUGGCAC
rnacentral:rRNA from 1 species